UACGAAGGGGCUAGCGUUGUUCGGAAUCACUGGGCGUAAAGCGCACGCAGGCGGAUCGAUAAGUCAGGGGUGAAAUCCCGGAGCUCAACUUCGGAAUUGCCUUUGAUACUGUCUGUCUUGAGUCCGGGAGAGGUGAGUGGAAUUCCUAGUGUAGAGGUGAAAAUUCGUAGAUAUUAGGAAGAACACCAGUGGCGAAGGCGGACUCACUGGCCCGGUACUGACGCUCAUGUGCGAAAGCGUGGGGAGCAAACAGGG
rnacentral:rRNA from 1 species